GGCUUGGUAGCGGAUGGUCCGCAUCUGCUUUCCAUUCUGAUUGUUGAAGGGAAUAAUGCAGAUGAUGCCUGUUCGACUCAGGCCCGAGCCA